rnacentral:rRNA from 1 species
GGGCCCUACGGGGCGCAGCAGGCGCGAAAACUUCACACUGUGCGAAAGCGCGAUGAGGGAAUCCCAAGUGCUUGCUCGUAAGAGUAAGCUGUUUCUUUGUCUAAAAAGCAGAGAGAGUAAGGGCUGGGUAAGACGGGUGCCAGCCGCCGCGGUAAUACCUGCAGCUCAAGUGGUGAUCAUUAUUAUUGGGCCUAAAACGUCCGUAGCCGGUUUAGUAAAUGCCUGGGUAAAUCGUGUAGCUUAACUAUACGACUUCCGGGUAGACUGCUAAACUUGAGACCGGGAGAGGCUAGAGGUACUCCUGGGGUAGAGGUGAAAUUCUGUAAUCCUAGGGGGACCACCAGUGGCGAAGGCGUCUAGCUAGAACGGGUCUGACGGUGAGGGACGAAGCCCUGGGGCGCAAACCGGAUUAGAUACCCGGGUAGUCCAGGGUGUAAACGCUGCUUGCUUGAUGUUAGUUGGGCUCCGAGCCCAACUAGUGUCGGAGAGAAGUUGUUAAGCAAGCUGCCUGGGAAGUACGGUCGCAAGGCUGAAACUUAAAGGAAUUGGCGGGGGAGCACAGCAACGGGUGGAGCGUGCGGUUUAAUUGGAUUCAACGCCGGAAAACUCACCGGAGGCGACGGUUACAUGAAGGCCAGGCUGAUGACCUUGCCUGAUUUUCCGAGAGGUGGUGCAUGGCCGCCGUCAGUUCGUACCGUAAGGCGUUCUGUUAAGUCAGACAACGAACGAGACCCUCAUCUUUAAUUGCUACUGGUAAGUUCGCUUACUGGGCACAUUAGAGAAACCGCUGGCGAUAAGUCAGAGGAAGGGGAGGGCAACGGUAGGUCAGUAUGCCCUGAAUCCUCCGGGCUACACGCGCGCUACAAAGGCUAGGACAAUGAGCUUCAACACCGAGAGGUGAAGGUAAUCUCGAAACCUAGUCGUAGUUCGGAUUGAGGGUUGAAACUCACCCUCAUGAAGCUGGAAUCCGUAGUAAUCGCGGAUCAACAUCCCGCGGUGAAUAUGCCCCUGCUCCUUGCACACACCGCCCGUCAAACCAUGCGAGUUGGGUUUGAGUGAGGAUGUAGUUUUUGCUACGUUCAAACUUAGGCUUAGUAAGCGGGGUUAAGUCGUAACAAGGUAUCCGUAGG